rnacentral:snoRNA from 2 species
AUUAUAAUGAUGAAAAACUUCAGGAAGUGCCGUCUGAGUUUGCAUGUUGACGAUAAUGAAAUGCUCUGAACAUAAUUA